UGUGAAACUCCCCGUCCUGGAGGAGGGACUGGACAUUCCCACCUGAACUUGAGCAUAUAUAAACAUCGGGGCUGGGGACUUCUGGUACCACUCAUUGGAUCGAGAGGAGGACCAGAACACCAACAGGACUGCGACUGCCACUCUCAACAGGAUUGCCAUGAUCAUCUGGACCAACAGGGAGACUGAAAGGCAGCAGCAUAUCAUUGCAGAAGUACUUACACAGUACUUUUCUUAUCCACAGAUCUCCAAGUGCUCUACAAAGACCUUUCCAGCCUCGAAAACCAUAACCACUCUCUACAUUUUGUAAGAUCAGACGACAAGGACCACUGCCUCGUAACGGUGCCUCAUAACAGGAGAAAUAUCUUCAGGAAGGUGCUUUGACGGGUUAGGAAUUUUUCCCAGCUCCUGCCUUCAGCUGACUUCUCAGAGAAAAGGGUAAAAACAGUGAAAGCAAAAGAAGAAAAGUGGGGUGCCUCCAAGUCCAAGAGGAAUUUUUCAGAAAAGCAUCCUAACUUUAUGAAGCGUGAUAUUAACUUGGGCUGAGCCUUUUGUCAGGCCUAAAGGUGUGGCAGAGUUUGUGCAUGAACCCAAACUGUGCCCCUAUGACUCCGUGUAACAGCACAGACUUGAAUUUAUACUGAAGAGGAGAGCUUGAUCAGUCUUAUGACUUUAUGAUGAGACUGGUAGUCAAUGCUUUCCUGUCUCACUUUUGGAAACAAAGACUUUUCCACUGGCAUGGCAUUGUUCCCUUCAUGGGUGUCCUAGUAUAUAGACAGCUAAAUUCAGUGCUAGUGUAAGUGAGCACAACCCUUGAUACCUCAGCUGAACUGAGGAACGUGCAACGGCAGUGAACCUGAUCCAGUUUACCAGAAGAAAAGUGUUGUUUACUACUGGGAGCACCUUACUCAUUGCUGCUAGUGCUGUAAAUAUAUAUUAAGAUCCACUAUCUCCAUCACUGCCCAGCAACCUCAUCAACUCUCAGCUUCCCUUUACUUUAGUUAAAUUCUCCAUCCUCACCUGAACCCCAGUAUAAACUCCCCUUUUCUCCUGUUUUUUGGGUUUUUUUCUUUUUUUGCGGUGGGUGGGGGAGGAGGUGUUGAGAAGGGCCCUAUGGACACCUCAGCCGCAGUGGUGAUUUUGCAGCGUUGCUAAAUUAAGUCGCCGAUUAAAGCCGGCGCGCUGCGAGCUCCCCCUCCUGUCGCCGAGCCGGUCGCUCGGGGCAGCUCCGGCUCAGCGCCGGUGGUACCUACAGGAGGGCAGAAGGAUGCUGAAGAGGGGCUAAAUCUGGAGGAAAACUCCUUCGAGCCGCCAAGGGAGGUCUGGCAUUGAAAAAACUGGCAUGUCGGAAAGCAAAGCAGCUUUAUGUUGUACACUAGAGCCUUCAUGGACUAGGGUGAUAAAAUUGUCUGGCGCAGGAUAACACUAGCCUUUGCCAGGACAUCACUUAUUUUAUACAAUUGCAUCUUUAAGAAGGUAAUAAAUGCUAAAAUUACAAGAAAA